rnacentral:rRNA from 1 species
UAACACGUAUCCAACCUGCCGAUGACUCGGGGAUAGCCUUUCGAAAGAAAGAUUAAUACCCGAUGGCAUAGUUCUUCCGCAUGGUAGAACUAUUAAAGAAUUUCGGUCAUCGAUGGGGAUGCGUUCCAUUAGGUUGUUGGCGGGGUAACGGCCCACCAAGCCUUCGAUGGAUAGGGGUUCUGAGAGGAAGGUCCCCCACAUUGGAACUGAGACACGGUCCAAACUCCUACGGGAGGCAGCAUG